CUUGAUCUCGCCGGUCGAAUGAGAAAGCUAUUUGCGGAAGAUAUGGGUCGGCCACCCCGAAUGCAAAGGUUGGUCGGCUUCACUCUUUUUCUCGGCUGCUUCCCCAUCCAAGGUAAAGGCGUGUACCUUUAUGAAACGGUUUACGUCGUACAAACGAUGAGCAGCGUACCUCUAUUACUUAGCUGUUCAAGCAGCCGGACAUUGUAGCACCAUCCCCUCAUACCACAACACUAGUAAACGUUCAGUUUUGUCAAACAAACUGGACAGCUCUUUAUUCCUUUCUUAAGAAGAUAUCAACUUCAGAAGCUGCCAGCAGAUGUCAAUACGAUCUGUAUUAACGAUGCAUGGUAACAUUGCGAUAGAUUUGUUAUAUAUAACCUCUUCCAAUUACUUAAUUAUCUUUUUGAACUUAUGUUAUAACGUCAUAAAAUAUCACUUAAAACAUUUCGACAAAGAAUUAAAAGUUUGCUUAAAGGAUGUUUAAAGAUUCUCAAUAUUCAUUGGGAAUUCAGAAACGAAAGUUGCUCUUCUCAUUGUUAAAUGAAUGGAACGGUGUACAAAGAAGCUACGAUUUCAAGGGGGUGAUUCCCAACAUGGAUCAGGUAGAUAGGCGGAAUAACGAGCAAGGAAGAAUCACGAAGCUACUUGACGCUAAUUGCGCAGGACGCUUAUCGUUACAUUUACUCACGAAUCAGAGACUGUUGAGUAUAUGUAUAUGUAUUACAACACGAAUAACUUGAGUGGCUUGACUAAUGAUCGUGGAAAAAAGACAGAAUAACGACCUCCGAUCGCUUCUUACAUUCACAUGCUGCUAUACAAUGCGUAUACACUGAAUAAGUAUCAAAAAUUGUCAUCUUUCAUAGAAAUUUUCUAUCUCUAUCUAUAUGGACAAACGAUUCAACCAGUUGAUUCGAACUUCGAUAUAGAAAGCUAUACGUUACUUUCUUUUUCUUUAUUCCUCUUUUCCUUUUUCCUUUUGAAUUCGUUAUACCAAUGCAAUACUAGAACCUCGUUAACGUGGAUAAAAAGUAAUACGGGGGAAACCGAAUAUUCGUUAUGUGUGUGCAAAGUGUAGUAAUGUAACGUAAAGUCACUCAAACUUUCGAGACAAGAGAUAUGUGCGUCAUCAUCGAGGUGCGUGGGUGAUGAAAAGAUCAAUGUACGAAGCCGGUCUGCCGUCUGCAUUUAAUCUCCGCGAAUAACAUUUCUCAUCUCAAUUUGGAUUUAUUCAUUUACUCGUUUUCAAUUAAAACGAAUAAUAAAUAAACGAAAAUAAUGCAAAUACUUUGUAAAAUUUUUAAAAUUAUUCGUUUGAAAAUUUCCAGUUCAUACAGCUCUUUUUGUAAAGGAAUCUUAUUUUAAUUAAUAUUAAUCUUUUAUUAAAAUAUCUAAGAUUACUUUUUGAUAAUCUAUAGAAUUAUUUUUAUAGACAUAUCUUUUAUACUAUGCAAUUUAAAAAUUUAAACGUAUAAAAUAUAAAAAAAGGAAAGAAUUUCAAGAAGAACUUUUACAGGAACGAAUUUCAUCGAUGUCAUUAAAAAACAACAUUUGAUCUGAACUGAAAGCAUAUUCGUAGCAAGCUAUAGAGGAGCAGAUGUUUUGUAGAAAAUAUUACGAACGAUUUUUAGUUAGAGAAAGUCGACUCUGCCUUGUGUGUCGGUGCAAAUAAAAUCGGACCCUAAAUAGCACGUCUGGCGAGGGGUUAAAACACCCGUUGGAAAUAAAAAAGGCACUGCGCGCACGGUCCUUCUGCAUAACGGCAUGUGUACCCCUUCUAUGUGUACAUGUGUAACUUUAUGACAGACAUGUGUAUACAAAUUUCAAAUGAUACGCUCGCCUCAAUUGAUCAUAGCCCGUCUGACCGUAAAAUUCGCAUAGCAGACGAAAAAUCGUAAAAUGUACGAAAAAAAACUGUAAGUUGCGAAAUGAAACAUGGAAAUCACUUAUUUUAUAUAUUGUAUCAAAUUGAUAGAAAUAUUUUUAUAAUUUGUGAAAUAUUUGAAUAAGAAAUUAUUUGAAUAACCAUUGCAAUUAUUAUUCGGCUUAAAAGUAUGUAAUUAUAUAAUUGAAUUUAAGUGAAAUUUAUGCAUGGCUACGUUAAUCAAAGUAAUAAAGAUUCUGUGAUAUCGUUUUAAAAAAUGAAUGGAAGUAGAAAUUGUUCUUUCGUUUAUUAUAAUUUUAAAAUAAAAAAUUGCUGAACCAAAACGAUCGAAGAAAAGAAAAUAUAUUGCGCAUGUAAAAUAUAAAAUAAAAAAAUAAAUAAUAAAUGAAAAUAUUUUAAACAAGAA